GUAGUCCUAGCCGUAAACGAUGUAUACUUGAUGUAGUUGGACUCAACCCCGACUGUGUCGUAGCUAACGCGAUAAGUAUACCGCCUGGGGAGUACAGUCGCAAGGCUGAAACUCAAAAGAAUUGACGGGGACCCGCACAAGCAGUGGAGCAUGUGGUUUAAUUCGAUGCAACGCGAAGAACCUUACCUGGGCUUGACAUGCAGAGGACAGUACUAGAAAUAGUAUCUCCCUUCGGGGCCUUUGCACAGGUGCUGCAUGGCUGUCGUCAGCUCGUGCCGUGAGGUGUUGGGUUAAGUCCCGCAACGAGCGCAACCCUUAUCAUUAGUUGCCAACAGUUUCGGCUGGGAACUCUAAUGAGACUGCCUGGGUUAACCAGGA
rnacentral:rRNA from 1 species